rnacentral:rRNA from 1 species
CGCCUUGCCAGCCCGCUCAGAACUUAAAUGAAUUGACGGGGGCCCGCACAAGCGGUGGAGUAUGUGGUUAAUUCGAUGCAACGCGAAGAACCUUACCUGGUCUUGACAUCCCGGAGACCCUUAGGAAACUAGGGGGUGCUUCCAUCUGGAAGAAUCUGGAGACAGGUGCUGCAUGGCUGUCGUCAGCUCGUGUCGUGAGAUGUUGGGUUAAGUCCCGCAACGAGCGCAACCCUUGCCUUUAGUUGCCAGCAGUUCGGCUGGGCACUCUAAAGGGACUGCCGGUGUUAAACCGGAGGAAGGUGGGGAUGACGUCAAGUCCUCAUGGCCUUUAUGACCAGGGCUACACACGUACUACAAUGGCCGAUACAAAGGGCAGCGACACUGCGAGGUGAAGCCAAUCCCGUAAAAUCGGUCUCAGUCCGGAUUGGAGUCUGCAACUCGACUCCAUGAAGUUGGAAUCGCUAGUAAUCGUGGAUCAGCAUGCCACGGUGAAUACGUUCCCGGGCCUU